GGCUUAGUAGCUCAGUUAGCUAGAGCGCUAACAUUACAUGAUAGUGACGCUGCUUCGAAUCCCGCUUAACUGG